CACUAUAGGGCGAUGGAUUAGCGUGCGAAUUCCGCCCUUGUGCCAAGCAGCCGCGGUAAUUCCAGCUCCAAUAGCGUAUAUUAAAGUUGUUGCAGUUAAAAAGCUCGUAGUUGGAUUUUGGACAUCGUCUGUCGGUCCGCCUUAACGGUGAGUACUGGCGGGUGAAGUCUUCCGGCUGAAGGCUAUCUGUGCUCUUCAUUGGGUGUAGGUAGAAUUCAGCCCAUUUACUUUGAAAAAAUUAGAGUGUUCAAAGCAGGCCUUUGGCUUGAAUACAUUAGCAUGGAAUAACAGAAUAGGACUUUGGUUCUAUUUUGUUGGUUUCUAGGACCGAAGUAAUGAUUAAUAGGGAUAGUUGGGGGCAUUAAUAUUUAAUUGUCAGAGGUGAAAUUCUUUGAUUUAUGAAAGAUUGACUUCUGCGAAAGCAUUUGCCAAGGAUGUUUUCAUUAAUCAAGAACGAAAGUUAGGGGAUCGAAGAUGAUCAGAUACCGUCGUAGUCCUAACCAUAAACUAUGCCGACUAGGGAUCAGUGGAUGUUGUUUCGACUCCAUUGGCACCUUGUGAGAAAUCAAAGUUUUUGGGUUCCGGGGGGAGUAUGGUCGCAAGGCUGAAACUUAAAGGAAUUGACGGAAGGGCACCACCAGGAGUGGAGCCUGCGGCUUAAUUUGACUCAACACGGGGAAACUCACCAGGUCCAGACAUAGUGAGGAUUGACAGAUUGAGAGCUCUUUCUUGAUUCUAUGGGUGGUGGUGCAUGGCCGUUCUUAGUUGGUGGAGUGAUUUGUCUGGUUAAUUCCGUUAACGAACGAGACCUUAACCUGCUAAAUAGUUACAUCAUUUCCGAAUGAUGGACAACUUCUUAGAGGGACUAUCGCGCAGUAAGCCGAUGGAAGUUUGAGGCAAUAACAGGUCUGUGAUGCCCAAGGCGAUCGUUAAAAC
rnacentral:rRNA from 1 species